rnacentral:lncRNA from 1 species
CAACAAUAAUAAUGAUUUCUAAGGUACACUAAUAAUAAUGUUCUGCUGUACAGUGAUAAGGUUACAAAAUAUGAAAGAAUUUUUUGUGUGAUGCAACUAAAAUACAGUAUAUAGAUGUUGUAUUAAUGACAAUGUAUCUCCAAGGCUGAUAGCAGGUGGAGGAUUCUACCUCAAUUCACCACCAAAAAAAGCUUUGCCAACUGGUGUACUUUAAAUCAUGGUCUGCAGUACCGGACCGUACCACCCGAUAUGGGCGGUACAUACCGGUCCGACCGGCUUCCGGUACGCAGACCAUCUGUUACCGGUCCGACACUGUAGUAGCACUGUAGUAGUGCUACAGUGAUACGGUAUUGCGGACCUUGCUUUAAAUACCGCUCUCCUGCCCACCUUAGAGUUCUCUUUUGAGACUUCAUAAGCCUCUGAUGCCCUACAGAAUGAUGAUCAAGUUGCUUUUCAGUGGAUAAUAAGGUAUCAUUAAGGAGUUCGUUAAAAGAUACACAACUGCAUUACACAUUGGUAGAUAAUACCAUUUCAAUUCUGUAAUUUAACACUAAAUUUUAAGGUUUUUAAGUAUUGAGUUUGUCAGCAUAUUAAAACAACAAUGGUCAAAUAAUACGUCGAUGCAUAUUGAAUUUGGACACAUAACCACCAUUUGUGUCAUCAAAGUGAGAAAGCAGUGGGUAGUGGAUAGGUUCUUGACAGAAAAAUUACAACCAUUGCUUUAUCUACCCUCCUUCCAUCAGAAAAUGGGGGGAAAAAAUGAAAUCUAAAGAACUUGGGAUGAAUCAAGAUAAGGGAAAUGAUAAGACAGGAGUUCAGCAGCAAGAAAAAACAAAAGAGAAAAUUAGGAUGAAGCAACAAACACAAAACAGAAAUAGGAAAAGCAAGAAAGUAAUCUGAAGUAAUGGUGAUCGGUUCAAAAGGUAAUACAUGAAAGACAGUACUGAAAUCAUAACUUCAGCUAACAUGAGGUCCAAUAAAUUAAAGUCAUGGUUUGGGAGCCCACUGUCGCUUAUAAGGUGCCAAGGUUUCUUCACAACAGAUACUUGACAUGGAUCCUCAAUUGAUGAAGAAGCAUGAGCAUGGCAAUCCUCCUCUAGUAAUAUAAUCGGUUAGUAAAUAAGAAAUAAUAUUAAACUGAAUUCCAGAUAACAGUGUCCAAAGAAAGAACCUUCUAACGAAAACUCUCAUAGUUUCUUUAAAAGCCCUUCUAAAUUAAAGAAAAAGCUCUCAUAUUUUCUUCCUUCGACAACCAUGUCUUCUAUUCUUUUACCUUAUCAUUUACCAUGUACCCAGCCCACUUAAGAGGACGAACAAACCGAGCUGCAAAACGACAGGCAUCGCCAGCAGCAGAUCAACAAUCCACAAGUUUUAGCUAUCAAAAUAUCCAAAAGAACUUACUUUAGAAUGUCUGUAAACGCACCAUAAGAAAACCAUAACUCAGUUUCCAGGUCCGGUUGUGAACACCGAUGUACUGUAGGUGAGCCUACUACCUUUCACACAAGGACAGCCAUUACCGCCGAAAUGUGUGAAUGGCUAACAAAUCACCAGCUUACUUUCCUUUAGCUGCCAAUGUGAUGUGCCCUUAGAACAACCUCUCCCAAUCCAAAUACAUAAACAUCUUUAAGCCCCAUACUCUUUUCCUCAGCCAACUAUAAUAACUAAAGGCAUCCUAAAGUCGUACAGAAACUAACUAGGCAUCAAAUUAAACAUAGAAUGUCACCCUUGGCUAAUUGACUAUCAUAUGUUCCAGGGUACAAAAGGAGCUAAGCAAAUGCAAACAUCAAAGUAGAGUAGCUAAAAUGAUAUCAUUCAUUGAAGAAGAACAACAGCCACUAUAAAAGAAUUUACUGUUCCCAUUGUAUAAUUACUGGAGACAUCAAACUUCAAAUUUGUUUCCAUUUUUUUCUUAGGGAACUGUUCUUCAAUUUUCCAAUGUUAGUGAAUGCGUCUGAAAAGAAACCGCAAUCAAAAGUUACCUCAAAGGACGCAAACACAUAGUUACUAUCGGUGUGCUUACUGACCAUUCACACAAAGAUUACAGCCAUUACAGCUGCGAGGGUGUGACUGGCUAAUUGGCCACCGGCAUAAACUCUCUCAUAGCUCCGAUUUCGGAAGAGACCUUUAUCGAAAUAGCAAUGAAGUGAUAGCAUGAAGCUAAUACCUCGCUCCUCCCAUUGGAAGCCACCUUAUCCAAACGCUGUCGCAAAGCCCAAGUCUUCAGCCGCACUGCAUAACAACAGAGAAGGAAAGAAGUCAAGCAUUUCGCCUACCUCGUCUUGCUCAAGGUUCGCAGAUCCAGUUUCGCCAUCUCGGAACCCUAAGUGGCGAAAGACCAUGAUGACGGGGAUUGAUCGCCUGAAGGAACUCCUCGACGGUGGUGGCGGCGAGGAAGAUCGAAGGCCUCGUCUCCAUGUCGAAGGGAAAUUGGCCGGCGAAGGUCGAGAAGAGAGAUAGGGUUUCAAGCAUUCAUCGAGAGAUUCGAACCGUUGGAUGCUUCAGUCAGUAGACGUGUUGUCCAUCGGACGGGUGCUUAUGCGACGGAUAGAGGUCCGCAUACAACCGUUGUGCGGUCCCAUUCCCCCAAAUGGUCGACGGAUAAACCCUACGCCAGAUUAAAAUCAGAUGUGGUAGUCGAUAGAGGUCCGCUCUCUCCGCUGCCC